GGGGAAUAACUCUAACUUAUCAAGUUAUUUCGAGUACCUCAGUGUUGCAUCUACUUGUGCGUGCAGGGAUUUGUGUUUAUGUUUGAACUUUGUGCAUAGGCUUUGCUGACCACUGCUAUCAUGAUGAGUAACAGGCUAUAUCAGAUAUGUUUUGGAAACUUCCACACCCUAACAAGGAUGAAGGCCACUCAAUUACAUCGAUGUUAUUAGCAGAGACACACAAUAUGAAAAUGAAGACUUGUUGAAGGUGGCUGAUUGGCAGAAUCUUUAGAGCAUUGGACAACCGUGCCUUACGAUAUGUGUUCUUGUUCUUUACAUUCUGAGUUCAAAUUCCACCAUGGUCAACUUAGCCAUUCAUUCUUUUAACAUUGAUGAAAUAAAGUUUUAGAGUUGAUAUAAUCAAUUAACCCUUCUCUUGAAA